rnacentral:rRNA from 1 species
GAUGAACGCUAGCGGGAGGCCUAACACAUGCAAGCCGAGCGGUAUUGUUUCUUCGGAAAUGAGAGAGCGGCGUACGGGUGCGGAACACGUGUGCAACCUGCCUUUAUCUGGGGGAUAGCCUUUCGAAAGGAAGAUUAAUACUCCAUAAUAUAUUGAACGGCAUCGUUUAAUAUUGAAAGCUCCGGCGGAUAGAGAUGGGCACGCGCAAGAUUAGCUAGUUGGUGAGGUAACGGCUCACCAAGGCGAUGAUCUUUAGGGGGCCUGAGAGGGUGAUCCCCCACACUGGUACUGAGACACGGACCAGACUCCUACGGGAGGCAGCAGUGAGGAAUAUUGGUCAAUGGGUGCAAGCCUGAACCAGCCAUCCCGCGUGAAGGACGACUGCCCUAUGGGUUGUAAACUUCUUUUGUAUAGGGAUAAACCUACCCUCGUGAGGGUAGCUGAAGGUACUAUACGAAUAAGCACCGGCUAACUCCGUGCCAGCAGCCGCGGUAAUACGGAGGGUGCAAGCGUUAUCCGGAUUUAUUGGGUUUAAAGGGUCCGUAGGCGGACUUAUAAGUCAGUGGUGAAAGCCUGUCGCUUAACGAUAGAACUGCCAUUGAUACUGUAAGUCUUGAGUAUAUUUGAGGUAGCUGGAAUAAGUAGUGUAGCGGUGAAAUGCAUAGAUAUUACUUAGAACACCAAUUGCGAAGGCAGGUUACCAAGAUAUAACUGACGCUGAGGGACGAAAGCGUGGGGAGCGAACAGGAUUAGAUACCCUGGUAGUCCACGCCGUAAACGAUGCUAACUCGUUUUUGGGCUUUAGGGUUCAGAGACCAAGCGAAAGUGAUAAGUUAGCCACCUGGGGAGUACGCUCGCAAGAGUGGAACUCAAAGGAAUUGACGGGGGCCCGCACAAGCGGUGGAUUAUGUGGUUUAAUUCGAUGAUACGCGAGGAACCUUACCAAGACUUAAAUGGGAAUUGACAGCUUUAGAAAUAGAGCUUUCUUCGGACAAUUUUCAAGGUGCUGCAUGGUUGUCGUCAGCUCGUGCCGUGAGGUGUUAGGUUAAGUCCUGCAACGAGCGCAACCCCUGUCACUAGUUGCCAUCAUUCAGUUGGGGACUCUAGUGAGACUGCCUACGCAAGUAGAGAGGAAGGUGGGGAUGACGUCAAAUCAUCACGGCCCUUACGUCUUGGGCCACACACGUAAUACAAUGGCCGGUACAGAGGGCAGCUACACAGCGAUGUGAUGCAAAUCUCGAAAGCCGGUCUCAGUUCGGAUUGGAGUCUGCAACUCGACUCUAUGAAGCUGGAAUCGCUAGUAAUCGCGCAUCAGCCAUGGCGCGGUGAAAAAGUUCCCGGGCCU